UAUGGCCAAAUCACAUUGAAACACUGGUUCCCAUAUGCUCACCGAAGUUAAGCAAUGUUGAGCCUGGUCAGUACCUAGAUGGUGACCUUUUGGGAAUACCAGGUGCUGUAAG